CAGCUUCAGUAGGCUCUGACCAUCACAGAGAAGAUCCUUCACUCACCUCUCAACAGGGAAGACCCUUCACUCUCACCUCUCAACAGGGAAGACCCUUCACUCUCACCUCUCAACAGGGAAGACCAUUCACUCUCACCUCUCAACAGGGAAGACCCUUCACUCUCACCUCUCAACAGGGAAGACCAUUCACUCUCACCUCUCAACAGGGAAGACCCUUCACUCUCACCUCUCAACUCAACGUCCACUUGUCUUACUCUCCAGAGCAUUUCUCCUGAACUGCCAUGAUGAAGAGAAUGAAGCUGACCUUCAUUUUGGCCAUCUUACUUUUUCAACUGACCAUCUCGGUUGAAGGAGGGGGAUCUGCUUCUAAGCCAGCUCAACAGGCAGAUAAACAGUUUAGAUUUGGAGAUAUCAUUCGAACCAAAAUGAAGUGGAAAGAUAUGACCUAUCUGUCCGAAUCCAAAAAGAGGGGGAUCCCUCCAGGAUAUCACUUUGCAAUCUGGGUUGAUAACCCACCAACGAACGUUGUGAUGCCUAAUCGAAACAAUCGCACCAUUUUUCACUUUGAUGG